UACGAAGGGGGCUAGCGUUGCUCGGAAUCACUGGGCGUAAAGCGCACGUAGGCGGAUCUUUAAGUCAGGGGUGAAAUCCUGGAGCUCAACUCCAGAACUGCCUUUGAUACUGAGGGUCUUGAGUCCGGGAGAGGUGAGUGGAACUGCGAGUGUAGAGGUGAAAUUCGUAGAUAUUCGCAAGAACACCAGUGGCGAAGGCGGCUCACUGGCCCGGUACUGACGCUGAGGUGCGAAAGCGUGGGGAGCGAAUGGG
rnacentral:rRNA from 1 species